rnacentral:rRNA from 1 species
CGGAUUUAUUGGGCGUAAAGGGGGCGCAGGCUGCUUCUUAAGUCUGAUGUGAAAGCCCACGGCUUAACCGGGGAAGUGCAUUGGAAACUGGGAAGCUUGAGUACAGAAGAGGAAAGUGGAACUCCAUGUGUAGCGGUGGAAUGCGUAGAUAUAUGGAAGAACACCAGUGGCGAAAGCGACUUUCUGGUCUGUCACUGACGCUGAGGCCCGAAAGCGUGGGUAGCAAACAGGAUUAGAUACCCUGGUAGUC